rnacentral:rRNA from 1 species
CCCACCCUUUGUUUAUUAUACCUUUGUUGCUUUGGCGGGCCCGUCCUCGGACCACCGGCUUCGGCUGGUCAGUGCCCGCCAGAGGACCUAAAACUCUGUUUGUUCAUAUUGUCUGAGUACUAUAUAAUAGUUAAAACUUUCAACAACGGAUCUCUUGGUUCUGGCAUCGAUGAAGAACGCAGCGAAAUGCGAUAAGUAAUGUGAAUUGCAGAAUUCAGUGAAUCAUCGAAUCUUUGAACGCACAUUGCGCCCCCUGGUAUUCCGGGGGGCAUGCCUGUUCGAGCGUCAUUACAACCCUCAAGCUCUGCUUGGUAUUGGGCUCUGCCGGUCCCGGCAGGCCUUAAAAUCAGUGGCGGUGCCAUUCGGCUUCAAGCGUAGUAAUUCUUCUCGCUUUGGAGACCCGGGUGCGUGCUUGCCAGCAACCCCCAAUUUUUUCAGGUUGACCUCGGAUCAGGUAGGGAUACCCGCUGAACUUAAGCAUAUCAA